CAGCUCCUGAACUGGAGUGGUCAAUCCCAUCUUGACACACGCAUCGAUAAGUCAAGUACUUGACUACACCCAGCAGCCUUCCAUCACUGAAUUAGAAAUUCAGGUAGUCCAGUGCCUAAGUGCAGUGAGUUGCUUGCAAGUCACCGUGGCGGUCUCAGGUCGGAGGGACAGUUAUACCCAUAUCCUAUCGGAGCAAAUCUUGAU
rnacentral:lncRNA from 1 species